UGGGGAAUCUUGCACAAUGGGGGCAACCCUGAUGCAGCGACGCCGCGUGAGCGAUGAAGCCCUUCGGGGCGUAAAGCUCUUUCGACCGGAACGAUAAUGACGGUACCGGGAGAAGAAGCUGCGGCUAACUACGUGCCAGCAGCCGCGGUAAUACGUAGGCAGCAAGCGUUGUUCGGAGUUACUGGGCGUAACGAGUGCGUAGGCGGUUUUCUAAGUUCGGUGUGAAAUCUCCCGGCUUAACUGGGAGGGUGCGCCGAAGACUGGGAGGAUGGGGUGUGGGAAAGGCAGGCGGAAUUCCUGGUGUAGCGGUGAAAUGCGUAGAUAUCAGGAGGAACACCGGCGGUGUAGACGGCUUGCUAGACCCUAACUGACGCUGAGGCACGAAAGCGUGGGUAGCGAACA
rnacentral:rRNA from 1 species